UACGGAGGGGGCUAGCGUUGUUCGGAAUUACUGGGCGUAAAGCGCGCGUAGGCGGCUUUGUAAGUUAGAGGUGAAAGCCCGGAGCUCAACUCCGGAACUGCCUUUAAGACUGCAUCGCUAGAAUUGUGGAGAGGUGAGUGGAAUUCCGAGUGUAGAGGUGAAAUUCGUAGAUAUUCGGAAGAACACCAGUGGCGAAGGCGACUCACUGGACCGUCUCUGACGCUGAGGUGCGAAAAGCUAGGGUAGCAAACGGG
rnacentral:rRNA from 1 species